UCCACCACCAUACUACUACAAGUCACCCCCACCACCAUCGCCAUCGCCUCCUCCUCCAUAUUACUACAAGUCCCCACCUCCACCAUCGCCAUCGCCUCCUCCUCCAUAUUACUACAAGUCCCCACCUCCACCAUCGCCAUCGCCUCCUCCUCCAUAUUACUACAAGUCCCCACCUCCACCAUCUCCAUCCCCUCCACCUCCCUACUACUACAAAUCUCCUCCACCACCAUCCCCAUCACCCCCUCCUCCAUACUAUUACAAAUCCCCACCUCCCCCUUCACCAUCACCCCCUCCCCCCUACUACUACCAUUCCCCUCCUCCACCCGUGAAAUCCCCUCCUCCCCCAGUUUACAUUUAU
rnacentral:misc_RNA from 1 species